rnacentral:misc_RNA from 1 species
AACGCACAUUGCGCCCCCCGGCUUCCCGGGGGGCAUGCCUGUCCGAGCGUCAUUGCCAUCCCCUCAAGCUCCGCUUGGCUGGUUGGGCCGACGUCCACCCGUGGCUUUGUGCCGGGGGGGACGGGCCCGAAAGGCAGUGGCGGCUCCCGGAGGGUGGUUGGUCCCUUGGGGCGGUUGAUACAUGGGUUGUCAUCUUCCACCGCUCCGUUGGCCACGCUCCGGGGGUCCAGUCGAACGAUCGGUCUUCCCCUUUAGGUUGACCUCGGAUCAGGUAGGGAUACCCGCUGAACUUAA